UGGCUCAGGAUGAACGCUAGCUAUAGGCUUAACACAUGCAAGUCGAGGGGAAACGGCAUUAUGUGCUUGCACAUUUUGGACGUCGACCGGCGCACGGGUGAGUAUCGCGUAUCCAACCUGCCCUUUACUUGGGGAUACCCCGUUGAAAGACGGCCUAAUACCCGAUGUAAUUCAUUGAUGGCAUCAGAUAUGAAUAAAAGAUUUAUCGGUAAAGGAUGGGGAUGCGUCUGAUUAGCUUGUUGGCGGGGUAACAGCCCACCAAGGCAACGAUCAGUAGGGGUUCUGAGAGGAAGGUCCCCCACAUUGGAACUGAGACACGGUCCAAACUCCUACGGGAGGCAGCAGUGAGGAAUAUUGGUCAAUGGACGGAAGUCUGAACCAGCCAAGUAGCGUGCAGGAUGACGGCCCUAUGGGUUGUAAACUGCUUUUGUAUGGGGAUAAAGUUAGGGACGUGUCCCUAUUUGCAGGUACCAUACGAAUAAGGACCGGCUAAUUCCGUGCCAGCAGCCGCGGUAAUACGGAAGGUCCAGGCGUUAUCCGGAUUUAUUGGGUUUAAAGGGAGCGUACGCUGGAGAUUAAGUGUGUUGUGAAAUGUAGACGCUCAACGUCUGAAUUGCAGCGCAUACUGGUUUCCUUGAGUACGCACAACGUUGGCGGAAUUCGUCGUGUAGCGGUGAAAUGCUUAGAUAUGACGAAGAACUCCGAUUGCGAAAGGCAGCUGACGGGAGCGCAACUGACGCUUAAGCUCGAAGGUGCGGGUAUCAACAGGAUUAGAUACCCU
rnacentral:rRNA from 1 species